GAUCCUGGCUCAGGACGAACGCUGGCGGCGCGCCUAACACAUGCAAGUCGAACGGAGCUUAGAGAGCUUGCUUUUUAAGCUUAGUGGCGAACGGGUGAGUAACGCGUGAGUAACCUGCCCUAGAGUGGGGGACAACAGUUGGAAACGACUGCUAAUACCGCAUAAGCCCACGGUGCCGCAUGACACUGAGGGAAAAGGAUUUAUUCGCUUUAGGAUGGACUCGCGUCCAAUUAGCUAGUUGGUGAGGUAACGG
rnacentral:rRNA from 1 species